rnacentral:rRNA from 1 species
UACGGAGGGUGCAAGCGUUAAUCGGAAUCAUUGGGCGUAAAGGGCGCGUAGGUGGUCUUGUGUGUCUACUGUGAAAGCGUACGGCUCAACCGUAUUUAGUCGGUAGAAACUGCAGGACUUGAGGCUGGGAGGGGCUGGUGGAAUUCCCUGUGUAGCGGUGAAAUGCGUAGAGAUGGGGGAGAACACUCGUGGCGAAGGCGGCCAGCUAGACCAGUUCUGACACUGAGGCGCGAUAGCGUGGGGAGCAAACAGG